CAGCAGCCGCGGUAAUACAGAGGGUGCGAGCGUUAAUCGGAUUUACUGGGCGUAAAGCGUGCGUAGGCGGCUUUUUAAGUCGGAUGUGAAAUCCCUGAGCUUAACUUAGGAAUUGCAUUCGAUACUGGGAAGCUAGAGUAUGGGAGAGGAUGGUAGAAUUCCAGGUGUAGCGGUGAAAUGCGUAGAGAUCUGGAGGAAUACCGAUGGCGAAGGCAGCCAUCUGGCCUAACACUGACGCUGAGGUACGAAAGCGUGGGGAGCAAACAGGAUUAGAUACCCGGGUAGUCCCUGUCUCUUAUAC
rnacentral:rRNA from 1 species